CCAAUAGCGUAUAUUAAAGUUGUUGCAGUUAAAAAGCUCGUAGUUGAAUUUCGGGAUCAAUAUUUCGGUCAUGCCGUUGGUAUGCACUGUUAUAAUUGAUUUCUCACCUUCUAAAGAACCGUUAUGCCAUUAAUUUGGUGUUACGGGGAAUUAGGACUGUUACCGUGAAAAAAUUAGAGUGUUUAAAGCAGGCUCACGCUUGAAUACAUUAGCAUGGAAUAAUGAAAUAGGACAUCCGAUUCUAUUUUGUUGGUUUCUAGGAUCGAUGUAAUGAUUAAUAGGGAUAGUUGGGGGCAUUAGUAUUCAAUUGUCAGAGGUGAAAUUCUUGGAUUUAUUGAAGACUAACUACUGCGAAAGCAUUUGCCAAGGAUGUUUUCAUUAAUCAAGAACGAAAGUUAGGGGAUCGAAGACGAUCAGAUACCGUCGUAGUCUUAACCAUAAACUAUGCCGACUAGGGAUCGGAUGAUGUUAAUUUUUUAAUGACUCAUUCGGCGCCUUACG
rnacentral:rRNA from 1 species